UACGGAGGGGGCAAGCGUUAUUCGGAAUUAUUGGGCGUAAAGAGCUCGUAGGCGGUUCGUCGCGUCGGCUGUGAAAUCCCGAGGCUCAACCUCGGGUCUGCAGUCGAUACGGGCGGACUGGAGUUCGGCAGGGGAGACUGGAAUUCCUGGUGUAGCGGUGAAAUGCGCAGAUAUCAGGAGGAACACCGGUGGCGAAGGCGGGUCUCUGGGCCGAUACUGACGCUGAGGAGCGAAAGCGUGGGGAGCGAACAGG
rnacentral:rRNA from 1 species